AACCUGCGGAAGGAUCAU
rnacentral:ncRNA from 3 species